rnacentral:rRNA from 1 species
UACGAGGGGGGCGAGCGUUGUUCGGAAUUAUUGGGCGUAAAGGGGGCGUAGGCGGUUUGGUAAGUCUUGUGUGAAAUCUCCAGGCUCAACUUGGAGUCUGCACGAGAAACUGCCGGGCUUGAGUGUGGGAGAGGUGAGUGGAACUGCGAGUGUAGAGGUGAAAUUCGUAGAUAUUCGCAAGAACACCAGUGGCGAAGGCGGCUCACUGGCCCAUAACUGACGCUGAGGCACGAAAGCGUGGGGAGCAAACAGG